rnacentral:lncRNA from 1 species
GCUAUUUCUUUGGGCCACUCCCGUGGCAUAUGGAGGUUCCCAGGCUAGGGGUCGAAUUGGAACUGUAGCCACCGGCCUACACCAGAGCCACAGCGACGCGGGAUCCGAGCUGCAUCUGCGACCCACACCACAGCUCACAGCAACGCGGGAUCGUUAACCCACUGAGCAAGGGCAGGGACCGAACCUGCAACCUCAUGGUUCCUAGUCGGAUUUGUUUACCACUGCGCCACGACGGGAAUUCCGAUCUUGCUAUUCUUAUAUAAAUCUUACUUUCAUCCUGAAAUGAGACUCUUCCAGUAUGGAGACCUCGUCUACAAAUUAUCCAUGACCAAAAUCAUUAUACUUGAAAAAUGAAGUCCAAACUAGUGUGUUUGAAUUACAGCAUGAAGAAAGUCAUUCAAAGGCCCCCUUUCCAGGUUUCUAGUGUCUAAAAGCCUGAUUUACCCAAAUGCUCCAUUCAGGGAAAACACGGCAUGAUCCAAGAGCUAAAGGCACAAGGUUGUUUUCAGUUUUUAGUUUUUGCUGUUGCUUUUAUUUUUAUAGGAAGUAUAGUGCAAGCAAAACAGAUACAACUAUGUGUAUAAUAGAUAAAAUGAUGGAUCAAAAUGUACUCUUUUUAGAGGAAAAUUUUCUACUAUACAGUUAUACAUAUACAUAUAUGUAUUUUUUCUCAUGUGAUCUUCCAUCAUGUUCUAUCACAAGUGAUCGAAUAUAAUUCCGUGUGCAUACAGCAGCACCUCAUUGCAUAUCCACUCCAAAUCCAAUAGUUUGCAUCUGCUAACCCUAAACUCCCAGUCCACCCUACAUCCUCCAUCUCCCCCUCAGCAACCACAAGUUUGUUCUCCAUGUCCAUAAGUUUGUUUCUGUUCUGUAGAUAGGUUCAUUUGUGCCAUAUUUUAUUUUAUUUAUUAAUUUUUCUUUUGCUUUUUAGGACUGCAGCCAAUGGCAUAUGUAAGUUCCCAGGCUAGGGGUCGAAUUGGAGCUACAGCUGCCACCCUACACCACAGCCACAGCAAUGACAGAUAUGAGUUGCAUCUGUGACCAACACUGCAGCUCACAGCAACACUGGAUCCUUAACCCAGUGAUCAGGGCCAGGGAUUGAACCUGCAUCCUCAUGGAUACAAGUCAAGUUUGUUAUGGCUAAGCCAUAAUAUGAACUCCCAUUUGUGCCAUAUUUUAGAUUCCACAUAUAAGUGAUAUCAUAUGGUGUUUGUCUUUCUCUUUCUGACUUACUUCACUUAGUAUGAGAAUCUCCAGUUCCAUCCAUGUUGCUACAAAUGGCAUUAUUUUGUUCCUUUUUAUGGCUGUGUGGUAUUCCAUUGUGUAUAUGUACCACAUCUUCUUAAUCCAUUCAUCUGUCUGUGGACACUUAGGUUAUUUCUGUGUCUUGGCUAUUGUGAAUAGGCUGCAAUGAACAUAGGGGUAAUGUAUCUUUUUCAAUGAAAGUUUUGUCCCGAUAUAUGCCUAGGUGUGGGAUUGCUGGAUUAUAUGGCAGUUCUAUAUUUAGUUUUCUGAGGUACCUCCAUACUGUUUUCCAUAGUGUUGUAUCCAUAUACCUUCCUUGGAGCUACAGCUGCUGGCCUAUACCACAGCCACAGCAAUGCCAGAUAUGAGCUGCAUCUGUAGGAAAGUUCCCUUUUCUCCACGCUCUCUCCAGCAUUCGUUAUUUGUAGACUUAUUAUUAAUAGCCAUUCUUACUGGUGUGAGGUGGUAUCUUACAGUUUUUUUUUUGCAUUUCUCUAAUAAUUAGUGAUGUUGAGCAUUUUUUCAUGUGUCUGUUGGCCAUCUGUAGAUCUUCUUUGGAGAAAUGUUUGUUCAGGUCUUCUGCCCAUUUUUCAAUUGAGUUGUUUGUUUUUUUGCUAUUAAGUAGUAUGAGUUAUUUGUAUAUUUUGGAGAUUAAGCCCUUGUUGGUUGCAUUAUUUGCAGCUAUUUUCUCCCAUUCUGUAGGUUGUCUUUUAUGGUUUCCUUUGUUAUGCAAAAGCUUCUAAGUUUGAUUAGGUCCCAUUGGUUUAUUUUUGUUUUUAUUUCUAUUGCCUUGGGAGAUUGGCCUAAGAAAACAUUUGUAGAGUUGAUGUCGGAGAAUGUUUUGCCUAUGUUCUCUUCUAGGAAUUUUAUGGUAUCUUUUCUUAUGUUUAAGUCUUUAAUCCAUUUUGAGUUUAUUUUUGUGAUUUUUGUGCAUGUGAGGGGUGUGUUCUAGUUUCAUUGAUGUGUAUGUGGCUGUCCAGUUUUCCUAGCACCGCUUGCUGAAGAGAAGGUCUUUUGCCCAUUUUGUAUUAUUGCCUCCUUUGUCAAAGAUUAAUUGACCAUAGGUGUCUGGCUUUAUUUCUGGGUUCUCUGUUCUGUUCCAUUGGUCCAUAUAUCUGUUUUUGUACCAGUACUACAUUGUCUUGAUAACUGUAGCUUUCUAAUAUUGUCAGAAGUCUGGGAGAGUCAUGCCUCCUGCUUGUUUCCACCCCUCCCCCAUGAUUGCUUUGGCAAUUCUGGGUCUUUUAUUGUUCCAUAUAAAAUUUUGGAUUGUUUGUUUGAGUUUUGUGAAAAAUGUCAUUGUUAAUUUGAUAGGGAUUGUAUUAAAUCUGUAGGUUUCUUUGGGCAGUAUGGCCAUUUUAACAAUAUUAAUUCUUCACAUCCAGGAGCAUGGAAUAUCUUUCCAUUUCUUUAAAUCCUCUUUAAUUUCCUUGAUUAAUGUUAUUUAUUUAUGUUUGUUUUAGGGCUACACCUGUGGCAUAUGGAAGUUCCCAGGCCAGGGGUCUAAUACGAGCUGCUGCUGCUGUUCUAUGCCACAGCCAUAGCAAUGCAAAAUUUAAACUACAUCUGGGACCUAUGCCACAGCUUAUGGCAAUGCCAGAUCCUUAACUCACUGAGCAGGGCCAGGGAUACUAAUUAGGUUUGUUACUGCUGAGCCACAGUAGGAACUCCCUUGAUUAAUGUUUUUUUAGUUCUCAGCAUAUAAGUCUUUCACCU